AGUCGAACGAGAGACCUUCGGGUCUCUAGUGGCGAACGGGUGAGUAACACCUUUAGAACCUGCCCGCGCACCGGGAAUACGCUCUGGAAACGGAGAACAAAUCCCGAUGUACAGGAAGGAGGCAUCUUCUUUCUGUGAAACAUCCUUUAGGGGAUGGGGCGCGGAUGGACCUGCGGUGCAUUAGUUGGUUGGCGGGGUAAAGGCCCACCAAGACGAUGAUGCAUAGCCGGCCUGAGAGGGCGGACGGCCACAUUGGGACUGAGACACGGCCCAGACUCCUGCGGGAGGCAGCAGUAGGGAAUUUUCGUCAAUGGGCGCAAGCCUGAACGAGCGAUGCCGCGUGAGUGAAGAAGGCCUUCGGGUCGUAAAGCUCUGUUGCGGGGGAAAAAAGGCAGCAUCAGGAAAUGGGUGCUGACUGAUGGUGCCCCGCCAGAAAGUCACGGCUAACUACGUGCCAGCAGCCGCGGUAAUACGUAGGUGGCGAGCGUUAUCCGGAAUGAUUGGGCGUAAAGGGUGCGCAGGCGGUCCUGCAAGUCUGGAGUGAAACGCAUGAGCUCAACUCAUGCAUGGCUUUGGAAACUGGAGGACUGGAGAGCAGGAGAGGGCGGUGGAACUCCAUGUGUAGCGGUAAAAUGCG
rnacentral:rRNA from 1 species